GAUGAACGCUGGCGGCGUGCCUAAUACAUGCAAGUCGAGCGAACAGACGAGGAGCUUGCUCCUCUGACGUUAGCGGCGGACGGGUGAGUAACACGUGGAUAACCUACCUAUAAGACUGGGAUAACUUCGGGAAACCGGAGCUAAUACCGGAUAAUAUAUUGAACCGCAUGGUUCAAUAGUGAAAGACGGUUUUGCUGUCACUUAUAGAUGGAUCCGCGCCGCAUUAGCUAGUUGGUAAGGUAACGGCUUACCAAGGCAACGAUGCGUAGCCGACCUGAGAGGGUGAUCGGCCACACUGGAACUAAGACACGGUCCAGAGUCCUACGGGAGGCAGCAGUAGGGAAUCUUCCGCAAUGGGCGAAAGCCUGACGGAGCAACGCCGCGUGAGUGAUGAAGGUCUUCGGAUCGUAAAACUCUGUUAUUAGGGAAGAACAAAUGUGUAAGUAACUAUGCACGUCUUGACGGUACCUAAUCAGAAAACCACGGCUAACUACGUG
rnacentral:rRNA from 1 species